rfam:Schistosoma mattheei strain Denwood, Zambia genome assembly, scaffold: SMTD_scaffold0000023
CACCGCCCGUUGUUACUACCGAUUGAAUGAUUUAGUGAGGUCUUUGGAUUGUUGUUGUUGUUGUUGUAGUCGCUUUGUCGCUCCAUUGGUGCUGAGAAGAUGACCUAAUUUGAUUAUUUAGAGGAAGUGAAAGUCAUAACAAGGUUUCCGUAGGUGAACCUGAGAAAG